AUUUAGUACAACUCAAAGUAGGCAUUGCCUCCGGUGACAGAGACUGUACAACCACUGCUGUCAGCGGUGGAACCAUGGAAUGAUCCGUCUUCAUAGUAGCAAUCACCACUAAGGGACCCACCAUCAGAUUUAAUACGGAUAUUGUAAUCAAGUUUAGCAGAUGAUAAAGGAUUGAAAGACAUAGAAAGCCAAGUCUUGCCGUCAGUGUAACCAGACCCGAAGUUCAUAGGAGCCCAAUUGCCAUAAUCAUCGCCCUCAUUACCCCAAACACAGACAUCUUCUGCACUUCUGCCAGAUUUAUUAACAUAGUAUUGAGCGGAUGUCUUCUUUCCUCCCCAAUUAUAGUAUGAAUCUUCAUCAACAUCAGAAAGAGGUUGUUUUGAACCACCAUCAAUAUUGGUAGGGAUAUUCAUGUUCUCAGUUCCGGGGUAAUCGGUACGGCAAAUUGCGACAUUGGAACUCAAUGUAUUUUUAACAUAGGCAGUACCCUUUCCAUCUUCACAAAGAUUAGAAUUAUCCUUCUGGGUGAGAUAUAAUUUACCGUUCUUGCAAUACAAACCACCAACGGAAACGCCAUUGUCAGGCUGCUCAGACGGCCAUUGGGUCUUAGACAUUCCGGGCUUGCAUGCAUAGGAACAGUAUGUGUUAUCUUGGCAUGUAGAAGCUGUUCCGUAUUUACCAUCAUUCUUCUGAACACCAGACCAUCCUCCAAAACCUAAGUAAUCAAGGCGGACAACGCCAUUUUGAUCAUCAGGAAAAGAGGAGCAGUCGUAUACGCCGUCAGGAAAACCACCGUCUCUUUUUGAAAAAGCGGUAGUGUUUGUGACAUUGACACCAACAGUUAUAUUGCUAGCAUUCAAACCGGCAUGAUGGUGAUGGUGAUAGGGAGCAUUACCAAGAGGCAUAGCUGAAACCAAAGGAAUGGCGGAAACCGCAAAACAAAGAAAGUUGUUAAAGAGCAUUUUUAGAUUUAAAAGAUUUGACAGGAAUCUAACGAUUGACUUUAUAAACGAUAGGAUAUGCUAGUAACUUGAUACUAGAAAAUAAAAGAAAGAUGGUAAAGAAUAUAAUGGUCUUUACCUUUUGCGGUUCUGAUUGUUUAAUUUCAGCUCACGGCUUUUCCCUAAAAAUCAGCUCAGCUUUAUAUACAUUUCUUUUUUCAAGCACUUCACCAUCUUUUGAUUAAGAGCCGUGGCGUUUUGCCACUAAUUAACCAUGAAAGCCUGUAAGUUUUCAACGUUGAUUUUUUCAGAAAAUUUCUAACCAUAAACCCGAAAUAAUUAGCGCCAAAACAGUCAACUAUUGCGCUCCAAUCAUUGCUUGCCUUGCUAUCGGCUUUGUAUUCAUUGGCUGAUAACUUAAUUAAAAAUGAACUUAAAAGUCAGUUGAUAAAUUCAACCAAUUAAAUGCGUGAAUUUGAUCUACCCCAGGAAAAUUUAUACUGUCCCGGGGUCGCGGGGCGUUCAAUCAUUCAUUUCAAAGCAAAUUAUUAUUAUUUCCAAGCCAAGUAAUUUAAUUUUUGUUUAUCGCUUUAGCUUUCUUAUCAUAAGGAAGUUCUUGGUCCCCUGGGCCUUUUGCAAUUGAAUUGCGCGGUGUACGUAAGCCUAAUGACAUCCCUGUAUACCUAACUUACAAAUACGUUGGCUCGACUCAACGUUAUAUUGAUUUUCUCCUAAUACUAUUAAAUAUAUUUAAUAAUCUCUUGGGAAAGUAAUCUGGUACAUACAAAUCAUCCUAGAUAUAAGAGGCUCGGUGCAUUUCGGCAAAUGAUGUUCUGCAGCUCAUUAAAUAUGAUAUAAUAUUAAUUAAUUAAUAUCGUGUUUACACUCGGUUUAUCGGUUUGCUAUGCUAAGAACUUUUACGGAUAACAAUUUAAUUAUUUAUCUUGGUAGCGUAUUUGACGCUUCUUUGGAUACUGAGAUUAAGUCAAAUUUUGAAUGGAGAGAAGUCGAAUAAUAGCCCAAUGCCUGCCGAAAUUACCCGAUGCAUGUCAUUGACGAGACAAAAAAUUUCUUUCAACGGCCUAAGAAAAUGAUGUACUAGAAACGCCAUCUUAGUCUGACAUUUUACAUUUUACGCUCAUGCUCAAAUUUUAUUAAUAAAUUAUUAUAUGUGUCCGUGUCAUUUAGAAUAUGACAGGGGAGGGUAAUCUCUUUCCCAACUUUAUUGGCGUGUAAUGAAAUUCGCGAGCUACUAUUGUGUCUGCAUUCUUUAGCUGCAAAAACGCAACGGAAAAGACAAUUUUAUAAUAUGAAUACUUCACGUGUUCAUUGUUUUUGUCUUUAGAGAAUUUAUUUGAAAAUGCUGAGGAGGUUAAUAUCUGGUAUACAAUUAAAACACUAUCGCAAAUAAUGUAAAAAAAAAUAAUAUUGAGGAGCCAUAACUAAGUCAUAUAACUUUUCUUAUUGAACUAUUGUUAUGUCGCGAUUUAGUCGUAUUUACCAUAAACUAUAAAAACUUUUCUUAAUCAACAGUAAAAUUGUUACUUAUUCUGGUGUUACUUACACCUCCGCUUGCGUAGAGUGAAUUUAAAAUUCAUUGC
rnacentral:lncRNA from 1 species